rnacentral:lncRNA from 1 species
GUUAUUUGGCUGGAGUGAGGUCCCAUGUCUGUUUAUGCGGUGGCUCGCUGCUCAGGAUGGGGAACCAUUGGAGAUACUCGUUACUCUUUGAAGGCUUACAGUGGAAUGAAUUCAAAUAUGACUUAUUUGAGGAAUUGAAGUUGACUUUAUGGAGCUGAUAAGAAUCUUCUUGGAAAAAAAAAGACUGGAUAUAUUUUCAAUAUGCUUUCCUUUUAAGGUCCCGCACCUGUGGAAAGUAAAGAAUGUCACUUUCUGACAGGCUCAGGAACCUCAAGUUAUGUAGGGAUCUCAAGAAGAUUGGGGGAAUUCACCCAGUUCAUACAGGUGAAAUUGCUGUUGCAAAGAUUAUGAAUAUGAGAGAAGUCCAGCAUGGCUGACUUCAUCUCAUGUCUGGCCUCAGGCUGGCUGCCCUUGCUCACUGUUGGGCAUAGGCCAAGCUAGCCAUGGGAGGAAUGUAGUUUAUAGUUUAACUUUGAAGCAAGGAUGAUAAUAGUCUCUCCCUAAAAUGAACCCCUUCCUUGCUCAGGGACUGAAACUACCUUUUUACGACAAAUGAAAGCCCGCAAGAUUAAGACUGUGAGAGGGGCCUGAAUUCUGCUAAAAUGCAGGUGUAGCUGACUGAUAACCAGUCAUUGUCCCACAGCUUGCCUUUCUAUAAUCUGUUGCUCCUCAGGAAUCACAUGGCCAGAGGUCCUGAGAUUUCCAGUCCUGUGACCCCCACCCAGAGAUGGACUUAGUGCAUGAGGACCAUUUUCCACACCCCUAUGAUUUCAUUCUCAAACAAUCAGCACCCAUUCCCUAGCUCCCUGCCUGCCAAAUUAUCCAUAAAAGUCCUAGCCCCUGAGUUAUUAGGGAGAUUGAUUAAUAAUCCCAGUCCUACCCCUUGGGUUGCUCUGAUUUAAUUUAACCUUCUCUACUGCAAUACCACGGACUCAGUGAAUUGGUUUUGUCUGUGCAAUGGGCAAGAAGAACCUGUUGGGUGGUUAUACAGGUACUACAAGCACAGUCUGAUGGCAAAUUAUUGGUUUUGCUUCCUGCCCUUAAUGUUUCUAAACAUCUAGUCCAAAAUUACUCGUGAAAGGUCCAGCAAAGCCAAUUUUAAAAGAAAGAAUAGUGAUAUGGCCAAUCACUAUUCUUUCUGCACAUUAUUGCAAAUAAUCAGGCCACGGCUGGGCAUGGUGGCUCAUGCCUGCAAUCCCAGCACUUUGGGAGGCUGAGGCAGGUGGAUCACCUGAGAUC